ACCAAACAUUGGUUUAUAAGUAAGACAUAUCAAGUAAGUUGAUAAUUAUAUAUAUAGCCUAGUUACUCCAUAAUUCUUUAUGUUUGCUGUUGCUUUAAGUUUGCAACUAUUUUGAGCUACUUUAUCAAAGACUUUAUUUACAUAAAAAUCUGUAACAACAAUAUGAAUAAUAUUGAUGCCUAUCAAUCAUCUCAACCAAGAAAUUACCUUCUCUCUCAAUCCUUCAACAUAGUUUGCCAAAAUUGAAUUUUCACUUGUCUGUCCAAAAAAGAUAAAAAUAUUUUAG
rnacentral:lncRNA from 1 species